rnacentral:lncRNA from 1 species
GGGGCUGCAAGCUGCAGGCGGACGCAACGCUGUGCGAUUCCGAAGCCCAGCCACGCCAGGCCGCCCGGCCCUGGCCCCCAGCGGGCGUCGCCGCUCCUUGUCGCUUUGACGCCUAGCCCAGCGCCGCGGCGCAGGACUACCGGUGCCCCGCAAGUUGCGAGCGCACUCUGCGCCUGGGGAAACUUUACCCCGCGGCCGAGCCUCUGCCAGGUAGGAUUCAAUCACUGAGCCCCUCUGUGCGUACUGGCCCCGGGAUACCGCGCGCUUCGGGGGAGAUCCCAGAUCAGUGCGGGUCCCAGGACGCUCGGGUAAGCGGCCACCAAGUUCUGAAGCGACUCCCCUGGGGGCGGGGACAGCGCCGCACUGAGUGACCCGGAGCAUGCUCGGGUCGCGACUUCGCCCAGGUCAGGUGCAGCCAUUCUGCGCCCAGCGAUCUCGGGGGCUCAGGCGACAGUAAGGCGGCAGGUGGGACUCCCAGAGCCGGUGUGUUGGCCGGGGCUGUACCGAGAGUGAAGGGGUGAGCCCAAGUGACCCUGCACACAAGCAGGUCACAACGGGGGACACGGAGCCGGGCUUGGGCGCGGCGGACAGCCGAUCGGGCUGGGGCACCGAGCGCUCUUCGCCUUCGUGGGACCCUGGUAGCAGGGCCUGGAGAACGCUCCUAGAUUUUGCUCUCGCACCCGAGUUAUCAUUCCUUGCGCGGGAAGAUGUCCAGCUCCGUGGAUGUGGAGACCUAGGAGGUUCCCGGGCGGGUCCGGAGCUCCUUGCGGCCGGAUGUGGGGUGUGGUGGCCGUGGGUUCCUUAGCGUGGCUGGCCGAGGUGGGCGCGCGCGGGCUCCGGGUCCUGCUUGCGCUGGGAGAGUUGUCUCGCCAGGGGGCGCCCUUCCCUGGCCAGAUCGGCUUCCCAGACCAGCCUAGGAGCUUCUCUGAGUUUCUGAGCUCAUGGAACCGCAGAUGGACCAAGGCAAUGCGCGUGGGGUCUGUUUGGAGGAGCUCCCCACCUUGUCCCAGAGAAUCGGACGGAGGUGCACCCACUGUGAGACUGAUGUGCAACGAUCAGACGGAUCAGUGUCAUGAGGUGGGCUGCUGGCAAGGAUGAGUGAACAAUUUACACCC